AUUGAACGCUGGCGGCAGGCUUAACACAUGCAAGUCGAGCGAGUGGCGGACGGGUGAGUAAUGUCUGGGAAACUGCCUGCUGGAGGGGGAUAACUACUGGAAACGGUAGCUAAUACCGCAUACCAUCGGUUGUGCCCAGAUGGGAUUAGCUGGUAGGUGGGGUAAAGGCUCACCUAGGCGACGAUCCCUAGCGGGUCUGAGAGGAUGACCAGCCACACGGGAACUGGGACACGGUCCGGAAUCCUACGGGAGGCAGCAGUGGGGAAUAUUGGACAAUGGGCGCAAGCCUGCUGCAGCCAUGCCGCGGGGAUGAAGAAGGCCUUCGGGUUGUAAAGUACGUUCAGCGGGGAGGCGUUACCCGCAGAAGAAGCACCGGCUAACUCCGUGCCAGCCGCCGCGGUAAUUC
rnacentral:rRNA from 1 species